CAGGACGAACGCUGGCGGCGUGCCUAAUACAUGCAAGUCGAACGGUCUUUUCUAUGGAAGCUUGCUUCCACUGAGAAGAUAGUGGCGAACGGGUGAGUAACACGUGGGUAACCUGCCCAUAAGAGGGGGAUAACAUCCGGAAACGGGUGCUAAUACCGCAUAGUUUUCUUGAUCGCAUGAUCGGGAAAGGAAAGACGGCCUUUGUGCUGUCGCUUAUGGAUGGACCCGCGGCGUAUUAGUUAGUUGGUGAGGUAAUGGCUCACCAAGACGAUGAUACGUAGCCGACCUGAGAGGGUGAUCGGCCACAUUGGGACUGAGACACGGCCCAAACCCCUACGGGAGGCAGCAGUAGGGAAUCUUCCGCAAUGGACGAAAGUCUGACGGAGCAACGCCGCGUGAGUGAAGAAAGGUUUUCGGAUCGUAAAACUCUGUUGUCAGAGAAGAACAAGUUGGAGAGUAACUGCUCCAGCCUUGACGGUAUCUGACCAGAAAGCCACGGCUAACUACGUGCCAGCAGCGGC
rnacentral:rRNA from 1 species